rnacentral:misc_RNA from 1 species
UCACCGUCGGCACACACACGCACCACCACACGCAUCAUAAGAGCAUGCACUGCAUCGAGGUCGUCGGCAGCGGCAACACCAUCGCCACACACAACACCGCCACCACGUGCACAGCCGACGGCCGUCGUGCUGCUGUCGUCGUCGUCGGAGGAGGAUGCACCGAACCACUACACAUACGAGCGCGUACACCAACCACAUACGCGAAGGCCGUCGCGGCGACACCGCGGGCGCGGAUAAUGUCGACGAGGACAUCUUCGUCGGCGGAAGCCCGCGGUGCACAUGCGACGACCAUUUUGGAGCAGCUGGUGCGGCCGGCCAUGACAUAUGCGAACGCUAGACGCGAAGUCACUAGCGCGGCCGAAGCCUCGCCGCCAUUGGCCGCCGCGUUUGAGGAUGAGGGCGCCACCUCCCGGAUCGCCCUGUGCAAAGCGUACGCCAGAAAGAGAUAAAUAGAGCUCUCUCUCUUCUUUUACACCUUCCUUGGUCGUGCAUGAUACUCCAUUUUUGCCUUCAUUGACACCAAAGAUUCUGACAAGGAAUUGCGCUACUGUAUAUACUGUACUCUUACUUCAUAGUCUAAACUUUCCAAUAAUAUAUAGCCAUUCGCGAUUAUCACUUCGUGCACUUCCCUCAUCAGAUUUCUCUCUAAUAGCACUUCGUGUGUACAUGAUGGUACGCGGAUUAGCUUAAACCGGCCCAUGAUAUCUUUCUCUCUAUUGGAAACAGCAAGUAUCAUUUUUUGGCGAGAUGCAAAUCGACCUUGUUGCGAUCAAACUAGUCCUCUGGUUUGAUUUUUCGCGAUAAUUACGUUAUUCAGUUUUAUAAAAGAACACUGGUUAAUUCAAAAUAUAUAGACUAUGGAGUCUGCAAUUGGGCAUCUCGAACAAAGCGUUCAGAAAGCUGACGGAAAAUUAGAUAUGAUUGCCUGGCAAAUUGACGCUUUUGAGAAAGCUUUCGAGGACCCAGAAAACGAG